rnacentral:rRNA from 1 species
UACGUAGGGUGCAAGCGUUGUCCGGAAUUAUUGGGCGUAAAGAGCUCGUAGGCGGUCUGUCGCGUCUGCUGUGAAAACCUGGGGCUUAACCCCGGGCCUGCAGUGGGUACGGGCAGACUAGAGUGUGGUAGGGGAGACUGGAAUUCCUGGUGUAGCGGUGAAAUGCGCAGAUAUCAGGAGGAACACCGGUGGCGAAGGCGGCUCUCUGGGCCUUACCUGACGCUGAGGAGCGAAAGCUGGGGGAGCGGACAGG